AUUUGAAUAUGUGGAAUCUGGCCCCAUGGGAGCAGAAGAACUUGCAUUCAGAUUUGCUGUGAAUACCAUCAACAGAAACAGGACUUUGCUGCCCAACACCACUUUAACUUAUGAUACUCAGAAGAUCAAUCUCUAUGACAGUUUUGAAGCAUCUAAGAAAGGUAAUAGAAAUAUACUAUGGUUCCUAGAUUUGAGAUUUCUAGGUGUUCUUAAGAAAGUUCAUGAUUCCUUUAUUUUGUCAAUAAAUUAUUGAGGAAAUUUAUGCGAAGGAAAUUGUCUGUAAUAUUUAUAUACAUUUUAUUAAAGGAAAUGUUGAUUUUUAUAAAUUUUCAUUAGGUUUUAUUCAAACAAAUCCAAUUUUAAGUGAAAUCAAAUUUGUGGUAGACGAAUUGUUUUCCCAUAUUGUUCUGCUUUCA
rnacentral:lncRNA from 1 species